GUAAUUGCUAGGCCUUUUGCCUAAGAUCAUGCAUACUGCCUGUUCUUACCAGUUUAAUACCUGAUUGGUCCUCUUUCCAAGGACAAUAUAUUAAAUGGAUUUGGGGAGCAGGAAGAUGGAAUAUGAGCUUGUCCAUUCACACCACACCUGGAACAUAC
rnacentral:snRNA from 1 species